AGCUGUGGUGGCGGCGGCGGCGAAGACAAGAAGGCGGCGGAGAGAGGGGACCGAGGAGGGACGUGCGCUCAGCUUCUCUCGCACCGGUUGCUGAACUUGGGCGAGCGCGAGCCGCGGCUGCCCGGCGCCCCCUCCCCCUCGCAGCGGAGGAGGGGACAGUCGUCGGAGUCGGGGCGGCGGAGACCCGCCGCCGGCCGGCCACAGCGGGAUCGGCGCUGACUGCCGCCGCCGGGAGGGCCGCUGUCGCCGGGAAGCGUCUUCGUCCGCGGGCUCCCAGGAACCGCUGCGCCCGAGAGCGCUCCGUGAGUGACCGCGACUUUUCAAAGCCGGGCAGCGCGCGCGAGCUGACAAGUAAGAGUGCGGGCGGCACCUGAAACCCUGAGCGCCCAGGGAGCGAGCUGGUGAGCGG